AACGAACGCUGGCGGCAUGCCUAACACAUGCAAGUCGAACGAUUGCCUUCGGGUGAUAGUGGCGCACGGGUGCGUAACGCGUGGGAAUCUGCCCUUAGGUUCGGAAUAACAGCUGGAAACGGCUGCUAAUACCGGAUGAUAUCGCGAGAUCAAAGAUUUAUCGCCUGAGGAUGCGCCCGCGUUGGAUUAGGUAGUUGGUGGGGUAAAGGCCUACCAAGCCGACGAUCCAUAGCUGGUCUGAGAGGAUGAUCAGCCACACUGGGACUGAGACACGGCCCAGACUCCUACGGGAGGCAGCAGUGGGGAAUAUUGGACAAUGGGCGCAAGCCUGAUCCAGCAAUGCCGCGUGAGUGAUGAAGGCCCUAGGGUUGUAAAGCGCCUUUACCCGGGAAGAUAAUGACUGUACCGGGAGAAUAAGCCCCGGCUAACUCCGUG
rnacentral:rRNA from 1 species